UCCCUUACAUCUCAUAUAUAUAUGCACUGAUGUUUACUAGUCCCUCUCAUUCUUAACACAACUGAAUCUAUUGCGGCUGAUAUGAAGGCAGCUCACAACAAUGAACAAGAGGAUGACGACCAUGAUGAUGGAAUUCGUUUCCAACAUGAAUCGUCUUCAUGGAUUCUUCAUAAUUGGUUCAAUGAUUCACCAAGUUAAUUGGUAAGUCUUUCUCUUCACUUUCUUUCUUUUAUUUGAUGACGCAUUCAUUUAUGCCUAGGUGUUUAAAUAAAUUAUCUCUUGCAAAUACUAUGGUUCCUUUAAAAUAUUCACGAUUGAAAAGAACAUUUCAAUUUUAUUAGUUGUUGUAUCUUUUUUAAUAGAAGUUAAGUCGCCUGAUAUUAAGUCUUUCAAACUUAAUUUUUUUUAUUAGAUUCAAAAGAUUUCUCUUACCUAGAACAAAUGGUUAAUUCAACAUUGAAUGAAGAGAUACAAUUCAACUUUCCUAAUCAGAAAGCUGAAAUAAACAAUAACCAAUGGUUCAAUUGUUUUUAUCUGUUUGUGUGUUCACAUUUGGUAGAAGUAGUAUCACUUGUGUUUAAUCAAUGGACUAAACAUAUCUAUAUACCUAUAUAAAAGCAGGACAUUAGCCCGGUGACAUGGCAUAACUAAAAUGCAGAAAUGGUAUUUAUCUUUUUUUAUAAUUUUUUGACAAUUAAUUCCAUUUCACGGGUAAAUCAAACUGUACGAAAGUAAAAGCGGCGCUUUGCAACCCAGCCUAUUGAAAUUCCUCCUUUUUCCCUACCAUUCCUCUCUCUCUCUCUCUCCAUUCAUUGACACUCAGCGAAAAAGAGAAAUCUACGGUUUCAAAAUUCUCUGAAAACCGUUUGAAGUCAAAAACUUGACUAAUCUUCAUCUGAAAUCCAACUAAUUUAAUUAGAUACUCAUGGUGUGACAUAACAUUAAAUUUGUCCAUAGCUUGUGAUAUCUUUGCAUAUAUUCUCCGAGUUUCUGGUCCAUGGAUAUUUCAAGUUCUUGCAGUGCCUUUUCUUGAUGCUCUAAGAAUCCAACAAAAAGAAUUAUGAAGAUAUUUCACCUGUAGCUCUAGCUUUCUAGAUAUAAAGCUACUCCGAAUAUUUAAAAACACAUCAAGCACACAAUUAGAUUAACAUUCUUCUCACAUAUGAACUAACAUUCUCAUUUGAAAUUGCAAUUCUAAACCUAUCAUGUUGUGGCAUUCUUUUUGCAUAGUUGAUGUACUUGUGUUAGUGGAGCUACUAUUAUCUAUUUUACCAAGGAGCUCCAUUUCUAAAUUGAGUAUCUCCAUGCUCACAUGAAAAUCUGCUCAUUAGAUCCUAUGCUGUCUGCUUUUGCUUCACUUGCCUGGCUUUCCGCUAAAUGUGCAGCUCAACCAGAGCAUCUUUUGUCAUCCUUCUGAUAUUUCAUGUCUUUCAAAAUUUGGGGUAACUCAUCUAUUUUUGGAGAGGUCUCAAUUAUAUGAAUUUCGGUAUGACGUCCCUUCCUAUCGGUAGAUUGAAGAUUGAUUGGCUUCUCUAAUCUAGAUGAUACUUCCUUCGACAACACAUUUUGAUCACCAUUUUUGUUCCCGCUUCUUUGCAUGAGCACUGCCGAGGUAGAAGAGUUUCGAUGCUUGGUAAGAACUACUUGCGUUACUCCAUUUGAAAAAUCUUUUGAAGGUGCUUCAUUUUUUAACUUCGUAGAAUUUUUCUCACCAAGUAUGGAUUGGUUCAUAGAAGACCGCUUGUUCUUUGAACUUGCUGCACCGUUCCUUGGUUUGGGUGAAGUUAUGGUUUCCACUUUAUUAUUAGAACUUUCUUGGCAGUAUGGAUGUAAUUGAGUGUGUUUCUUGCCUUAGCAUGCUUUCAACAAAUCUUGGAGAAGAUCAGAUGCUUGCUGUAGUAUGCAUAUUCCAUUCAGCUACAAGAGCUCUUGAAAAUUAUCAAAAUGGAAAUGUGAAUUGCGCUAGUGCUCUUGACAUAUUACCAUCUAAGCUUGGAAUUUCCAUCAAUGGUCAAUAUUUGGUUAUAUGCCUUGAGUAUAUAAGGUAACACAUUAUUUUACAGCCAUGUCUGGUCAAUGCUAUAUGGAAAAAAGAAUGUGUAAGGUACUUGCUUUUUCUUUCAUGCCAUAUACGUGAGGAGUCAACAGUGAUCCCCAAAGAGAACUUUUUCUUUUGCACCCUACUUUAUCAAACGGAUAAACUUCUUUAGGUUUUUGGGUUACACGGUUAAUACGAUAGUCCUUCCUGCAGAGCAUUACUGCUUCAGAUCAUGGUCUUCGGGAAAUAUUAUUUUAUCAGAUACUCGCCACUUGCCCUAAUCAUUGUCGAGAAAAUAAAACAUAAGGCAAAAUUCGUAGGAUACAACCUGACAAAUUUAGUGGUGGCACAUGGCAACGAUGAUGAGUCGGACCUGAGUCAGCAAAAGAGAUUCCUUGGGAACACUCGGGCUGCACCAGAGACACAAUACGGCUCCUUGUUCCACAAAAUUAAAGAAGUUUUCAAAGGCCAACGGUUAGCCAUUACACAAAGACCUUGAGCCUUCCACGGGCCAUUAAUGAGCAUAACUGCAAUCUUUAUUACUCAUCAUUGCCCUAGCAUUGCUAUCCGAUAUCAAUAGGGACACAAUUCAUGGAGUGUGUGCCCCAUAGCUUAAGUAUAAAUAGGAGUUCUCAUUUCAUUGUAACAUCAUCUGAAAUUUCACACAGAAAAUACAUCAUACUUACAUUGUUCUCAGCUUUUUCUUGUUCUUAUACAAUUUAGCAAAGGUUUCCACUAUAUGCUUAACCAGAGACUCUAGCUCAAAGCUUCUCCAAGGCUCAGGCUAUUUACUUUGAUUAUUUUUUUAAUUAUAUUUUAAUAAUCUUAUUUACUAUUGCUAAUUAUCUCAUUAUUUUUGUCAUAUUGAUACACGUGUCCUUGACCACGUAAACAAAUUCAACUGCACCGAUUUACUGGUAAACAGUUUGGUGCUUACCGCGGGGUCUGGACAAUAGUGGUAUCAUUGUGACCUUGUCUAUUGUACUAUCCUUUCUUUGAAUUAUGGUUGCUAUAGCAUCUACUUUGGAUAGGUCGAGGACUAGCAACAAUCAAACUCAGCUCACUACUCGAAACAACGGUAAUAACUAGCGCAUCGGCCGAUUUGGCCUUCCUCUCCGUGUCCCUGCAGCAGUUGGUGCGUCGACCUAGAACGCGGAUGGCAUAGCCCUGGGAAAUGCUUCCGAGGAGGCAACUCUGACUGACUAAACCCCCAUGGAACUGAUGCAGAACAGGAGGGCAUAACAGCAGGCGAUGAUGGAAGAAAUGGAAGACAUGAAGCAACUUAUCACGCUCGCUAUCAUCCAACCCUGACGCAUGGACUAGAAUGCCUGGAGGGACACUCCUGGCACCCAGUAAAUGGCAACAACGUGCCCGGGAGAGGUCAAAAUGAGUUAAGAAACGGUGAUGCGGCAGGAAGCAAGUCUGCCCCAGACGACCCUUUUCGGGCACAAGUCCUACGGUUCAUGGCAGACAUCACCGAUAAGAUAGAUAAGACCGCCAAAAAAGCGAAAAAGAAUGCUAAAGAGUUCCAUCGGUGGAUGAUUCAAAUCCCAAGGGCCCCACCGGUUAUUGAGGACUCGGAUGCAAAGAAAUACAUCCAAUUAGCGCCUAAGCCCGAGGCCGCGCCAGAGCUAAUCUUGAAAAGGUUCAAAAUGCCAAAUAUACCAAAGUAUGAUGGGACAACGGAUCCGCAGGAGCACAUAAUGGCAUACAUUAUGGCGGUCAAAGGGAAUGAUUUAAAAGUAAAGGAGAUAGAAUCAGUCUUGAUCAAGAAAUGUGGCGAGACGUUGACCAAGGGCGUCCUAACCUAGCACUCUCUUUUACCC